GACAGAGGGUGCAAACGUUGUUCGGAAUUACUGGGCGUAAAGCGCGUGUAGGCUGCUCAGAAAGUCGGAUGUGAAAGCCCUGGGCUUAACCUAGGAAGUGCAUUCGAAACUUCUGAGCUGGAGUUCUGGAGAGGAAGGCGGAAUUCUCGGUGUAGAGGUGAAAUUCGUAGAUAUCGAGAGGAACACCGGUGGCGAAGGCGGCCUUCUGGACAGUGACUGACGCUGAGACGCGAAAGCGUGGGUAGCAAACAGG
rnacentral:rRNA from 1 species